rnacentral:rRNA from 1 species
GAUUGGUAUGGGCGGAAGCCUGAACCAGCCAUGCCGCGUGCAGGAAGACGGCCCUACGGGCUGUAAACUGCUUUUAUACGGGAAUAAACCUUGAUACGUGUAUCAAGCUGAAUGUACUGUAAGAAUAAGGAUCGGCUAACUCCGUGCCAGCAGCCGCGGUAAUACGGAGGAUCCAAGCGUUAUCCGGAUUUAUUGGGUUUAAAGGGUGCGUAGGUGGCCUGUUAAGUCAGGGGUGAAAGACGGUAGCUUAACUAUCGCAGUGCCCUUGAUACUGAUGGGCUUGAAUGAACUAGAGGUAGGCGGAAUGUGACAAGUAGCGGUGAAAUGCAUAGAUAUGUCACAGAACACCAAUUGCGAAGGCAGCUUACUAUGGUUUUAUUGACACUGAGGCACGAAAGCGUGGGGAUCAAACAGGAUUAGAUACCCUGGUAGUCCACGCCCUAAACGAUGAAUACUCGAUGUUGGCGAUAUACGGUCAGCGUCUAAGCGAAAGCGUUAAGUAUUCCACCUGGGGAGUACGCCCGCAAGGGUGAAACUCAAAGAAAUUGACGGA